rnacentral:rRNA from 1 species
AAUGCUUUACGACAUGCAAGUCGAGCGGCAGCGCGGGGGCAACCCUGGCGGCGAGCGGCGAACGGGUGAGUAACAUAUCGGAACGUACCCCGUCGUGGGGGAUAACACAGCGAAAGCUGUGCUAAUACCGCAUACGACCUGAGGGUGAAAGCGGGGGAUCGCAAGACCUCGCGCGAUGGGAGCGGCCGAUAUCGGAUUAGCUUGUUGGUGAGGUAAAGGCUCACCAAGGCGACGAUCCGUAGCUGGUCUGAGAGGACGACCAGCCACACUGGAACUGAGACACGGUCCAGACUCCUACGGGAGGCAGCAGUGGGGAAUUUUGGACAAUGGGGGCAACCCUGAUCCAGCCAUUCCGCGUGAGUGAAGAAGGCCUUCGGGUUGUAAAGCUCUUUCAGCAGGAACGAAACGGUGGCCACUAAUACUGGCUACUAAUGACGGUACCUGAAGAAGAAGCACCGGCUAACUACGUGCCAGCAGCC